UUGCCCUUUGCCUCCUUCUGUCCGCUGAUGUUGUCGCGUGCUGGACCAGGAAGAGCGCCUAAGCCCCCGGCGCGAAGCCCCCUGCGGUGCGCUCGUCCAAGUGUGCACAGGUUCUUCCUGAUUUCUGUUUAAGAAUACUGAUGUGGCAGCUCUUACCAGUGUAGGGUAAGGGAGUUAGAGGAGGCGAGGUUCGGAAAAAGAAGGAGACCGGCACUUUACGGAACGGAUUCACCUUUAAUGAGGCAAGAAGGAGCAGCAUCAGAUUAAUGACCUGCUGCGCUAACCCAAGAAAAGAUUAAGCCUGAAAAGGCCAUGAGCCACUCAGGUCAACCUCCUGCUGGAGCCGUCCACCACCCACAAUGAACUCGGCGGUUCUGCCUUCUAGGAGGAAGCCCAGGCCUCGUGGGAAGGCUUCCUGAAUCUCCGCCAGCAAGCCCGGCUUCAGCUGCAGACGUGGCAGUGACGUCACCUCCAGAGGAGUCCAGCCCCUAGUGUUAGUAUCAACCCCAACUGAUGAAAUGAAUGAUCAUCAAAAUACCCUGUCCUACAUGGGGAUAAACCCAUCCCCAGACACCACACUGGAGCUGAAUGAUGUUGUGUAGGUUGAUGUGUCUCACAUAAGGCCUGUAUUUUCAGAAAACCACACAUUUAUUUAUUUUUAUAUUUUUAUUUCCCCAUAAAGCCCCAUAUUGUUUUUGUGAUAGAAACACUUAUAAAAUUGAAGUCUAAUUUUGGUGUUCAAUAAACAAAUGCAUUUUGUGUACUGCAUUGUGUAUUGCUGUGUGUCAUACUAUACAAAAG